CCCCUUGAUGAUGUAGAUCUGGUGGCUCAUAUUCUUCAUGGUCUCACUCCAGAUUAUGAGGCUUUUAGCACUUCCAUUCGUGUGCGUGCCGAACCGGUUACCGCCGAUGAGCUUCAUGGACUUCUGUUGAGUCAAGA